rnacentral:rRNA from 1 species
UACGUAGGGGGCAAGCGUUAUCCGGAUUUACUGGGUGUAAAGGGAGCGUAGACGGCUGUGCAAGUCUGAAGUGAAAGCCCAGGGCUCAACCCUGGGACUGCUUUGGAAACUGUGGAGCUAGAGUGCUGGAGAGGUAAGUGGAAUUCCUAGUGUAGCGGUGAAAUGCGUAGAUAUUAGGAGGAACACCAGUGGCGAAGGCGGCUUACUGGACAGUAACUGACGUUGGGGCUCGAAAGCGUGGGGAGCAAACAGG